AACUUAUGGUUUGGGAAUUGCAUUAACUUAUCAUUGAAAUAUUGUCAAACUUCAUACAUGGUUCACCAUUAAGUUGGUAAAAGUUGGUGAUUUUUUCCUUUAGUU